AUUCGCACCAGGACAGUUGAGCCGCCAUCAGAAUGAGAGAGGGAGUUGACCAUGCUGUAUUAGGGACGAUCUCUCCAGGUAUUGCUUUAUUGGCACCAACAUUAUUUCCCCAUGUGUUCUACUCCCUCAAAAACAAACAGAAGCCAUCCUGCGUAGUAGUGGAAUGAACAGACCUGGCUUUAAUAUCAGGCUCCGCCUGACUAGCUGGGUGACCUCAAGCAAGUCACCUAUAAAAUGGGGAUACCUCCACCUACUCUACAGGUUUUAUACAUCACUAGUGGCAACUCCGUAACCAGAAGAUGAGGUCUUAUUGUCUUUAAAAGGGCGAGGGGAAAUCAGUGUUGAUGAUUUUUCCCAAAGUGCCAGUCACCUUCCAUCUUCGCCUCCCUGACAUCUUUGACUCCUCUACAGGACUCACACAAACACCACCACACUUUUCCCUUUCCCUUCUCUCUAUAAACGCCAUGCUUUCUUCUUUUUCUUUUCUUCCCUUCCAUUCUGCUGGACCAUCCUAUUCCAAGAUGGGAUGCAUUCCUAACAGCCACAAUCCCAAGCUCCAAGUUUCUCACUUAGGUUUACCACCCUAGAAACUUUCUAAUGGAAAAUCGGGGGAAAAACAGAGGGCUCUCCAAUAAAUUUAAGUUAAAGCAUAUUUGUGGAGAGAAGCCUGAAUCAUUCAGACUUUUAGCAACUAUAAAGUUUACUCUCCUCUGUACAGAUUGUAGUUUUAGACCGUGAGUCAAGUAGGAAUGGUACCAAAGCAAAGCUAACCGAAAUAUGCAUAAAUCCAUAAUCCCUUGCCAUAAUUAUGACACAAUAUUCUAAUCGUGUACCAAGUAGUAUAAUAAAUGCUCUCACCUAGCCAAAUGUUCCAACUUGUAAAACUAAGGGACAACUAUAAAGAAUGGAACAGUUUGUUCUUUGCCCGUCGGUGGUUGGACACGAUCCACAGUUAGGAAAUUCAUGAACAGCUCAGCCAGUGGAAUCAAGCCGAUAUUCAAAGUGUGCAACCUCAAAGACUGGGAGAGGUGAACCUGCCUAUUCCAGUACCUUUAGAUGGAACUUAAAUCAUUCAAGAGACUCAUUAAACACCUCCAGAAUUUCUUACAACAGUACCUAAUAAUCCUUAUCUUGAUAUGUAAACUCUAUUCUUUUAAGCAUUUGUUCAUCAUUUAUGAAGUCACAGUGCCAAGCCUAAUGCAGUUAUGUCUACAAUUCAGAAUUUAACCUGCACCCAACACAUAUGAAGUACAUAGGGGAUUGGGAUAAUACAUAAACUUUGAAGACACAAUUUGCUUUUUAAAAAGUCGUUUCAAAUUUCACCUUCCAGCUUUGGGAAAUAGAUGUAACUGGCCAUAUUUUUUAUUUACUUUCUGACAAUGACUGAUCUAAGUUACACAAUAACUACCUUCAUUUAACUAGAUUAGGUACAGAUAUCUUUCAAAUAAGCAAAAUGAGACACAGGAAGGCUAAGUAAUUUGCCCAAGGUCACACAUAAACACAGUAAUUGCUGGAGGGCAAAGCAAGACCACUUGCAGGAAA